GGGGGUGUACCGAAGUGGCCAAACGGGGCAGACUGUAAAUCUGCUGGCUUAUGCCUACGUUGGUUCGAAUCCAACCGCCCCCA
rnacentral:tRNA from 1 species